rnacentral:rRNA from 1 species
GACGAACGCUGGCGGCGUGCCUAAUACAUGCAAGUAGAACGCUGAAGAGAGGAGCUUGCUCUUCUUGGAUGAGUUGCGAACGGGUGAGUAACGCGUAGGUAACCUGCCUUGUAGCGGGGGAUAACUAUUGGAAACGAUAGCUAAUACCGCAUAACAAUGGACGACCCAUGUCAUUUAUUUGAAAGGGGCAAAUGCUCCACUACAAGAUGGACCUGCGUUGUAUUAGCUAGUAGGUGAGGUAACGGCUCACCUAGGCGACGAUACAUAGCCGACCUGAGAGGGUGAUCGGCCACACUGGGACUGAGACACGGCCCAGACUCCUACGGGAGGCAGCAGUAGGGAAUCUUCGGCAAUGGGGGCAACCCUGACCGAGCAACGCCGCGUGAGUGAAGAAGGUUUUCGGAUCGUAAAGCUCUGUUGUAAGUCAAGAACGAGUGUGAGAGUGGAAAGUUCACACUGUGACGGUAGCUUACCAGAAAGGGACGGCUAACUACGUGCCAGCAGCCGCGGUAAUACGUAGGUCCCGAGCGUUGUCCGGAUUUAUUGGGCGUAAAGCGAGCGCAGGCGGUUUGAUAAGUCUGAAGUUAAAGGCUGUGGCUCAACCAUAGUUCGCUUUGGAAACUGUCAAACUUGAGUGCAGAAGGGGAGAGUGGAAUUCCAUGUGUAGCGGUGAAAUGCGUAGAUAUAUGGAGGAACACCGGUGGCGAAAGCGGCUCUCUGGUCUGUAACUGACGCUGAGGCUCGAAAGCGUGGGGAGCGAACAGG